rnacentral:sRNA from 1 species
GUCGGGGGCGCGGGUGCACCCCUGUAAUCCCAGCAACUCCGGAGGCUGAGGCAGUAGGAUCACAAGUUCAAAGCCAGCCUCAGCAACUUAGUGAGACCCUGUCUCAA